rnacentral:rRNA from 1 species
UACGUAGGGGGCAAGCGUUGUUCGGAGUUACUGGGCGUAAAGGGUGCGUAGGCGGCCCUGUAAGUAUGGUGUGAAAUCUCCCGGCUUAACUGGGAGGGUGCGCUAUAGACUGCGGGGCUCGAGUGUGGGAGAGGAAAGUGGAAUUCCUGGUGUAGCGGUGAAAUGCGUAGAUAUCAGGAGGAACACCGGUGGUGUAAACGGCUUUCUGGACCAUAACUGACGCUGAGGCACGAAAGCGUGGGUAGCAAACAGG